UCUCCGUAGGUGAACCUGCGGAGGGAUCAUUACAGAGUUCAUGCCCUACCGGGUAGAUCUCCCACCCUAUGUUAUUAUUACUUUGUUGCUUUGGCGGGCCGUUAGGCUCCGGCCCGACUACCGGCCCCGGCUGGUAAGCGCCCGCCAGAGGACCCAAAACCCUGAAUAUUAGUGUCGUCUGAGUACUAUAUAAUAGUUAAAACUUUCGACAACGGAUCUCUUGGUUCUGGCAUCGAUGAAGACGCAGC
rnacentral:misc_RNA from 1 species